rnacentral:rRNA from 1 species
UACGUAGGGUGCGAGCGUUAAUCGGAAUUACUGGGCGUAAAGCGUGCGCAGGCGGCUUCGCAAGUCAGACGUGAAAUCCCCAGGCUUAACCUGGGAAUGGCGUUUGAAACUACGGAGCUGGAGUGUGGCAGAGGGAGGUAGAAUUCCACGUGUAGCGGUGAAAUGCGUAGAUAUGUGGAGGAAUACCGAUGGCGAAGGCAGCCUCCUGGGCCAACACUGACGCUCAUGCACGAAAGCGUGGGGAGCAAACAGG